CUGGUGGUGCUGAGUGGAAGACUAGUGAUUUUGUUGUGACGCUGAUCAAAGAACAACAAGUCCCAGUCUGCCUCUCAGCACAAGCAG
rnacentral:pre_miRNA from 16 species